AUGGAGUUGGCAGGCGACGGCGACGACGUCCAGUUUUCCCCUUCCCAGCGCCGGGAUAUGGUGCGGCGGCUGCGGCGGCUCCGCCGGCGGUUAUCCUCCGACCCGCUGCUGGCCCGGCUGCCGCUCGGGGAUGGGUCCCCCGCGGCCCACCAGUCGGUGCUGCUGCUGCGGUCGAUGCCGAAGGGAGAGGGGCUGCUCGGGACGGUGGCAGCUCACCGGAGACGCAAAGCGCGGCCGGAUAUGUUUUUACACCUCUCUUUCUGGAAAAGAAUUGCAGGAAUUGUCAUUGCAGUUGUUGUGAUUUUGCUCUUAACAUGGAUUACCUUACAUCCACCUAAAUUACCACAGCUGGAGCCGUGCCCUGAUGACUGGCUGUACUACAAGAAGAAAUGUUACUAUCAUUCAGGAGCUGUAGCAGAUUGGAAUUCCAGUCAGGAGUCCUGCUCUGACUACGGCGCUUCCCUUGCGGUGAUUGAAAGCCACCAAGAGCUGAACUUUAUAAUGUAUCGACUACGCAUAAAAGACUUCUGGAUUGGGCUGCGCAGGAAAGGAAGCAAAUUCUUCUGGGCAAAUGGAGAGUCAUUUGACACAAACUUAUUUCAUAUCAAUAUAACAAAUGAUGGAGACUGUGUCUAUAUAGAUUCAACCUUCAUUUCUACCAGAAGUUGCUCCUCUGUCAGGAACUGCCUUUGCACCAUUGGUCAGUUUAAUACUAAGGCAAGCUCUUAAUAGAGAGCAGCUGGCUGUGCAAAUACAGAGACUUUCUCCAUGAGAAGUUGGAAUUCAGAAUACUGAAAGUCCUUGCUGUAGGAGGUCCACAGAGGCAAGAGGUGCUGUGGAGAGAAUCAUAUCCAAACAUCUCCGGAAGAAGCAAUACAGGGAGUAAUAGUGACUCCACGUUAAAGGGGUAAUUGCUGAAGAAGUGGCAGUACCAAGAGGAAACGAUGAUGCAAUGGCUGUGGCAAAGAAAAAAAGUUGCUUCUUGGUAAUACAGUUUCAUUGCUGAAACUGCUGAAGGACAUACCAAUGGAUACUUUCCUUGAGAACUCUUCACAAUUGCAAAACAAAUUUUUAGGGCAGCUAAAAACAUUGUUAGAUGGACAUGAAGGUCUUAUUGAAAAUGCACUUCACAGUGAACCAAAUGAUAUGGUUUUUUCCUGUUUUCUGUGGAGCUCAGUAAUUCUUUGUCUGAAAACUUUCUUUGUCUUUGUGGUGGGCACAGAACAUUUUUUGACAGUGAAACCCACAAACUCUGUGUAGGACCGUGAUGCAGUCUGUGAAUUCAUCAUGAGCCUGACUGACUCUGAAGAGUCACCCCUCAGACUGCCAGGCUGCAGGGAGGGAAAAGAGGCUUAAGCACAAGUGCUGAUGAGGAAGGAGGUCAGAGGAACUGAAAAGAUCUUCACAGUCCAGCAGGGAAGGAUUACAGGAAGGGUACUGUGAAAGGCUCGAUGAAGGACUUGCUGCUUCCAGUUGAGAGUGAUGGAGGAAGGUUUGUACUUCAGACAUGUUGGAUGUGCAAGGUGACCUUUGAGAAGUCUAGGCUGAACUCGCUACAUAGCUGCCAAGGUAGCAUCCUAUGCAUGCUCACUGUUCACUGUGGUGAAAAGGGAAGUAACCGUUAUAUUUGGAAACCAGUGACCCUUAGUGUUCCCCCCAGAUUCCUACGGCCACUCAGCCCAGUGUCGGGCAAUUCACAGCUGGAGAUGCUGCAGAUUGGUGGAUACUCUGUCCGCAGUGGAUACCCUGGUUGAGUUGAAACGUCUCAGGUAUUCAGCAAUUAAUUAAUUAAUUAAUUCAGCAAUUAAUCCGGCAAUUAAUUCAGCUGCAUCCCUUUCUGUGUCCUCGCCUCCCUCCCCAGGAGAUGAAAUGAUGUACUAACGCAGAAAUCCUAAUCGGCUGUCUCUAUUUUGAACAACUGAAGCGGAAUAAAUGUGUAAUUCAGACAGAUGAUGUUUCCCCCGCCUCCAUGACUUGAGCUCCCCAAAGGACUUGUUCAGACCGAGAAUGUCACAUACAGGGCAGGCCUCUGAACAGAGGACAGAGGGAGGAAAGUGGUUGCUUGGUUGGUUCAUUGUCUUUAACUAUUUUGUGUGUGUUUUUUCCAGAUAACACAUGAAAAUACCUGUCUAGGUGAGCAUUAACAAAAGAAGGAAAUUACAGGGAAAGGCAGGAGCACCUGUGUUUCUCAGCAGGUUCACUUUUGGUGUUUCUUGGCAUUUAUGGAAUACCUACCAUCCUUAUCUAAGUGCUUUCUUCUAAGCUAUUGGAGCCAUUCAGGCUUUAAUUGAUUGAAACAGAAGGACAAGCAACCCCUGAAACAAUAGGGGGCUUUAUUAAUUGUAGAAUUACAUUUUUUAUCUCUUUUAAUUCUUUAAUAUGCAAAUAAUGCUCAUUCAAAAUUACACAAUCAAAAAUAAGUUAUCCAAGCUUGCAAAUCAGAGGGCUGGAGCACCUCUCCUAUGAAGACAGGCUGAGAGAGUUGGGGUUGUUCAGCCUGGAGAAGAGAAGGCUCCGGGGAGACGUUAGAGCAGCCUUCCAGUACCUAAAGGGGCUUACAGGAAACCUGGAGAGGGACUGUUUACAAGGGCAUGGAGUGAUAGGACAAGGGGUGAUGGGUUUAAGCUGAAGGAUGGUAGACUUAGAUUAGAUAUUGGGAAGAAAUUCUUUACUGCGAGAGUGGUGAGGCACUGGAACAGGUUGCCCAGAGAGGUUGUGGAGGCCCCAUCCCUGGAAGUGUUUAAGACCAGGUUGGAUGAGGCUUUGGGCAACCUGGUCUAGUGGAGGGUGUCCCUGCCCGUAGCAGGGGCGUUGGAACUAGAUGAUCUUUAAGGUCCUUUCCAACCCAAACCAUUCUAUGAUUCUAUGAUUCUAUAUCCAUGGAGACUUAUAUAUAUGUUAUGUACUUUUAUAUGUAUAUCAAUGAUAUUAAUUUAUUCUCCAUCGUGAAAAAAAUCCAUGAAAAAAAAUCUAAAAAAUUAGAAAAAAAAAAAGGUUGAGAAAGGAUUUUGAUAGAUUAUCCAGUUCCUACUCUGCCCCGGUACAGGAACAACAAUCCACUAUUAUCUAUUUCAGGGAAAAAAAAAAAAAAAGCAAAAAAAAAGCUGUCUCUUUUAGCCUAAGCCAGGGGAUUUCCUUUAGCUAGGAGUUAUAGUGGAGCUUUAGGUCCUGGGACAGAGCAGGCUUACGUGCAGAAAUUCAAGGAAUCAAAUAAGUCAGUCUUAGGUGGAUGGGUAGUUGCUGCCCUUGGGAGAGAGCUGCCUGGAGCGAGACAUCUCUUCCCUCUGAGCUUUGCCAGCAUGCUGCUUGCUGUGCCCUGCUGAAGUCCUAUCACCUGACACCUCCUUCAUGGUCUAUUUAGCCAAAGGUCUUGAGAUACGUACUGUGGACUUUGACACCCUCCUCCAUCUCUGCUACCAUCAUCACUAAUCUAUGUGCACUAUGGCUAUUGCAUAUCUGUCCCCACUACUGGCUCCCCAUUUCCCCCACACUCCUGUCCUCCCCAUCAGGGUUGGCUUAAACUCCUUAAGCUUAUGGUUCGGUUAGAGGCGUGCAGUUAUAUCCCAGUAUCUCUACAAUAUUUUAUUGUGUUGGUCUUGGUUAGGAAAAGCUUACUGCCAAGUCUUCUGUGCUUCUUGAAUUUGUAGCCAAAACCCAUCUCAUCCACUCCUUUUUAUCUUCCAGGCUUCUUUCUCCUUCACACUCUAGCUAUCUCUGACAAGUUAUUUUAUGCAACUCAUACUUUUUUUUAAAAAAGCCUAUAUAAGCAUAUAAAAAUUUCUUCAGUUUAAAUGGAAUAUCAUUUCUGAUAUAGUUUAUGGUGCAGUAGAGACACCUAGUGACAAUUCUGUUAUUAAAAGGCAAAGGAUUAAUGUAAAAGGGCAAAAGACCUCUUCCAAACCCUUUAAAUGUCCUUCUAGUGAUAGGUACAUCUUUCCAUGCUCUCCCCAAAUCCACUGACAAAAUAAUUUUGUCAGUUCUGUGCAAUUAGUAAUACACAGGAUGGAAACCAGUGAUCAAACAUCAGUGGCUUCCAUGCCUCCCAAGCCUCUUUUCACCCCAUGUGUCUUCAAAAGCCUUGGAUGCUACAAUAAAUAAAUUUAGCCUAGCUUUUCAUCACUGGCACCAAGGGCACAGUUUAGUGCCUGAGUGCCAACACAAAUCCCUUCCUCAUGUUAUUUUGCUGAAGUAAAGAAUCUGCCUCAGAACAUCUUGGCUGCAAAGUCAGGCAGUAAAUGUCUUUUUCAACUGAAUCAUCACCUGCCUGUUAAGGGAAGGGGAGGAUGCUGGAACUAGAAGGGGAAGGGUAUUGGAACUGGAAGGGAGUUGGAACUAGAUGAUCUUUAAAGUCCCUUCCAACCCAAACUAUUCUAUGAUUCUGUGAUUCUAUGAUUCUAUGUUCCUUUGGACAGAAAUGCUUUAAUCCUGAGAUCUUCGGCUCACGCAUAUAGGUGCCUAAGGGCAGAUGUCUAAAUCUAAGCUGUUGACUUACUUUCACUUUCCAAUUAGUAGAGAGAAAUAGGUACUUCCACAGUCCUAUCAUCUUCUCCUGAAAGGUCAGAGGAAUGGUCCCUGCAUGUCUCUGGACAGGACAGACUAUGUGAAGGAGACACCAGGGGGAGGUACGUCCUCUGUUCCUGCAGCGUCCCAAGCUGCUGCUGAGGGGCAGGACCUGGCUCCAAGGUACAUGCUUUGAGUGUGACCACUCUACCACUUGUUUUCCCAGGUGUGUAAAAUAAGGCAGGUCAACCUGAUAGCACUUGUCUCCCUUGCCAGAAACCUAUUCUCUGCAGAGGAAGACUCCCAAAUCAUGAACAUGAACUAGGCUGCUCGUGAUGGGCCAGAGCUACUAAAAAUGCCCUUAGCAAGUGAAUUCUUCCAUUACCUACAGGCUGCUCAAGAAUGGCACGACAUCAAAUGCAAACUCACCUGCAAUCAUCCUGUUGGAGGCCUGGCCUGAGGGUGAGGGCUCGUUUUCUGGCACAGUAAUUUACACAUAUAUUAAAAGUAUAUAUACCUAUUGAGGCACAUGUACAACAGUUUCCUAAACAUCCGUCAAACAAAAAGUAGUUGCAUUAUGUCCCAGUGCUGUUGUUAUGCUGGCCCUAUAGCAUACAUAUGUCUCAUUUGGGGACAUUCAGUUUCUUCUUUUUGUGUCUGAAAUGGCUGAUUUUCUGCCUUUUUUUUUUUUUUUUCUUUUUUUCCUGGGAAAUCAUCUCUAUGGUUAUCAUUGUUUUUCUGGUUUGAACUUGACAGUUUUCAGCAAGUCUUCCAGAAUGGCUGAGUAGUUUAUAUUUACUCCAAAUCAUUGCAGUAGAAUUAAAAAAUCAAUAGGCUUUGCCUUAACCUUUCCUCUUUGUCUGUUCAAAGUGCAUGGUUUGGCAGGCUGCAUAGAGAGCUUGGCCUCAGCAGGUAAAAGAUAGAUGGCAGCAAAUCUUCUCACCUCAAACCUUUGCCUGGGAGAAGAGGGCAUUAUACAGAGCCUUUUAGUUACCAGAUCUGAAAGCAACUUUUCAAAAUGGCAAGUGAGGUGGUUUAUGCAGAGGUAUCGCCCAAGGAAAGAGUACAUUUUACUUCACAAACUUCAGAUACAGUUGAUCCAACCACAUACGCUGAGGUGAAUGUGAAAUGGAGAUCUGACAGACCUGACAGCACACCCAAGACUGUACAUACAGUGACCUGCUUGGAGAACUCACACUGGUGUUACGUUGCUGUUGCCAUGUACUUCACUGCAGUGAUUCUGCUCGUCACUGUCAUCCUCUUGGCGGUGAAAUGUCACCAACUCUGAGGCAGACCCUGCCAUCCUGCUGACAUACGGGAUAACUCAACUGGAGAAGGCUCUGCUUCUUCAACAAAACAAGACAUAACGCUUGUUUGCUUUUACAUUAUUUUCUCUGAAGAGACCUUUAUGAAAAAAGACAUGCUAUCAGUAUGAUCACUCUUCAGUUAUGUCUUCCAGGAUCUCCAUUAAACCUCUAACCCCUCCAGAUAUGCACAAAACAUAUAUUAUUACUUUUAUUUGGAAUUUGCUUAAUCCUGUAAUACCAGCAACCAUCUAAUUAUAUCGGUGCGUGUACCAAGGCAUGGGCUCAAGCUGCUGUAUCAAAAAUUGGAUUUGGGUCUUGUCUAGACAACACAAAUGACCACGUGGACUUGUUUGAGACAUCACUUUUAAUUCACACCUGACUUGAUUUUACAGUAAUUUGCAAUAUAGAUAAGCUUUUUGAUUCCAUAUGUGAAAGUGCAAAAAUUCAUGAAUAGAACGAGGAAUGUGAAAGGUUGCACUGAAGUUUUUUAUGAAGCCCAGGUUUAUAUGUGAUCUUCUUCUCCUGACAGUCUUUAGUGGGAUUUGUAUGAGAGGGGUACUGAAGGUGCAAGAAACUAUAUUUGUUUAGUAGAGAAGUCUGUCUCAUUCCCCCAUUGGCUUGAAUAAAAUUAUUCUGAUCUACUUGUCCAGAAGCAUAUUUCACAGAGAUAGAAUAUGUUGUUUCUGUCUUGGGGUAGUAAUUAAUUUUGUAUUUGUUCUGUUGGUUUUGUUUUUGUUUUGUUGGAUUUUUUUCCCCAAAUGGUGUAGCUUCAGUUAAAUCAGAGUCCUCCACUGGAACUAAGCCACCUCAGGUUCCAAUGUAUUUGUCUGUAAUUAUUAUUUUGAUCUCUGUUUCUAUAUUAUUUUCAGUUGUCAUUGGUUAUGUUAUAAUUCCUUUGGGGUAGGCUGAUAUCAAUGAUUUGCAGACCAGAUUUGCAGUAGGAGGUGUCUGUAUAGCAAUUAUGUCUAGAAUUGUUUCCUGUAUCUAAGCUUAUCUGUACUUAAAGCCAUGUUGUUGCUGUUGAUAAUGUACCUCAUUUUUAUAUUAUAUGCACCAUGAAUCAAUGAAAAGAUUUAGUAAAGCA